UACAGAGGGUGCGAGCGUUGUCCGGAAUCACUGGGCGUAAAGGGCGCGUAGGCGGCCCGGUAAGGUUGCGGUGAAAGCCCGGGGCUCAGCCCCGGGUCGGCCGUGGCAACUGCUGGGCUGGAGCACAGUAGAGGCGGGUGGAAUUCCGGGUGUAGCGGUGGAAUGCGUAGAGAUCCGGAAGAACACCGGUGGCGAAGGCGGCCCGCUGGGCUGUUGCUGACGCUGAGGCGCGACAGCGUGGGGAGCAAACAGG
rnacentral:rRNA from 1 species